AAUGGGGCAGGUAAAACAUAGAACUAAUCCCAAAACUUUAUUACGAAAAUUUUUCUUUUUGUGUUUGUGCCUGAGAUCAUUUCCAAAAACAAAUUUCUUACUUCGAUUAUCAUUUUUACAGCAUUCUUCUUUAGGUCACAGUUAAAUUUUGCAGCAAGCAGUAGGCAAGAGCCUAAAAUACAAAAAUGUUGUUGGGCAAAGUACAGUCACGAUUAUGGUCAUGAAGACAGCGAGACUCGCCUGCAAGUAAUUUUCUGUUAACUUUACUAAUUUUUCCCUAAAAAGAACAGCAAAUCUUGGCAUCAGGCGAAGUGUUACAUAAGAGAAAGCAAUUUCAAUUUAAAAAAGGGUCGACCUGCAGCACAAGUUUUUCAAAGUAGACAAUCGUAUAUGCCACUGUAGAAUGAUCUAAAGAACACUGAAGAAGAUGGAAUGUGUGAGCUAGCGAAUAUCAGAUCGCAAUUCAGGAUCAUCAAGUAUAUCUGGAUCAUACUCACUGGAGUCUAAUGAAUGCCCCAAAUAUUCUAAAAAAAAAUCACAAAUAAAUCCCAACAUUGGUGCAACAUGCCAACCAUACAUGGUGGCAAUUUAAGCGAGCACAACCUCUUUGCUUAAUUGGCUUCUUGUUUGGUGUUCCUGACCCUGCUGUGGGAAACAAAGAAGAAGAGGAUACUGAUGCAGCUAUAUCUAAACUAGUUUUGUUUUCAAUCAUGGCCACGGUCGUUGAGAAAGAGCUCAAAAGUUUAGGUCGAGUACAGUGCGAAAGAUUUUGAACUAGACCCUGAUUUGAAAUCAGUUUAAUUUCCUCUUUAUCCAAAGAUAAUUGCGUUUUCUCUUUGACUUUAUCUCCUUUUUGCGUGAUAUUCCCUAUAAAUUUUCCAUCCAGAGAUAUAUUUGCCAAAAAGUUAUUCGCAGCUCUGAUGCGUCUCGAUUUUCGUCUUUUUGAUGCUUCUAUUUCUAUAGCUUUGGCGGCCAUUUUACCCUACGACGAAGAUGGGAUUGUAAUUAUAAAGUUGUCGUCUGCCAAACCAUAGAUACAAUAAACAACUAGUGUAAGAUAUACACUACGCAA